rnacentral:rRNA from 1 species
UACGUAGGGCGCAAGCGUUUGUCCGGAAUUAUUGGGCGUAAAGAGCUCGUAGGCGGCUUGUCACGUCGGGUGUGAAAGACCGGGGCUUAACCCCGGUUCUGCAUUCGAUACGGGCUAGCUAGAGUGUGGGUAGGGGAGAUCGGAAUUCCUGGUGUAGCGGUGAAAAUGCGCAGAUAUCAGGAGGAACACCGAUGGCGAAGGCGGUCUCUGGGCAUUAACUGACGUGAGGCGCGAAAGCGUGGGGGAGCAAACAGG